GGGGCAAUAGUAUAGCUUGGUUUAGAAUUCCAGCUUGGGGUGCUGGCGACCCGAGUUCAAAUCUCGGUUGCCCCA
rnacentral:tRNA from 1 species